UCUGUUAGAUAUGAAAGAAGUUUUUCUAAUCAACUUAACUGUCAUAAUAACAAUCAUCAUAAGACAUGCUAAUUGUCUCUAAGUAAGGCACAAGACCAGC